AAGUCGUAACAAGGUUUCCGUAGGUGAACCUGCGGAAGGAUCAUUAACGAGUUAGGGUCCCUAACCGGCCCGACCUCCCAACCCUGUGUCUAUCGCACCUUUUGUCGCUUCGGCGGGCCCGUUCCCCUUGGGGGACCGCCGGGGGACCGUCGAGAGACGUCCCCUGGCCCGCGCCCGCCGGUGGCCAACCUUUAACAAACUCUUAAACAAUGAAUCGUGUAUUCUCGUGUCUAAGUCCUUGAUUAGAUCAAAACAAAACUUUCAACAACGGAUCUCUUGGUUCUGGCAUCGAUGAAGAACGCAGCGAAAUGCGAUAAGUAAUGUGAAUUGCAGAAUUCAGUGAAUCAUCGAAUCUUUGAACGCACAUUGCGCCCUUUGGUAUUCCGAGGGGCACGCCUGUUCGAGCGUCAUUUAAACCAUCAAGCCCAGCUUGGUCUUGGACGCGGUCGAGUGACCCGUCCGUAACCCGUUGGCGGUGCAGUCCGGCUUCAAGCGUAGCAAAAAUUUCGCUUCAGGAGUCCGCGGCGGCGCCCGCCAGGUAAUCACAUCCCAAAGUUUGACCUCGGAUCAGGUGAGGAUACCCGCUGAACUUAA
rnacentral:rRNA from 1 species